rnacentral:rRNA from 1 species
UACGGGGGGGGCAAGCGUUGUUCGGAAUUACUGGGCGUAAAGGGCUCGUAGGCGGCCAACUAAGUCAGACGUGAAAUCCCUCGGCUUAACCGGGGAACUGCAUCUGAUACUGGAUGGCUUGAGAUUGGGAGAGGGAUGCGGAAUUCCAGGUGUAGCGGUGAAAUGCGUAGAUAUCUGGAGGAACAUCAGUGGCGAAGGCGACACCCUGGACUCAUACUGACACUGAGGUGCGAAAGCGUGGGGAGCAAACAGG